GAGUUGUUAUAAAUGAUAAGAGUGAUGAAGUAAAGUUAAAGUCUGUCCUCUCAGCACGGACACCAAUACGAUCACAACAUUAAUCCGAGAACUCUUAGUAGAAAUACUAUCUUACUUGGAUGUUAUCAUAACUCUGUUCAGUGUACAAGAUUCGAUUUUAACCUAUAACGUAUGUCUAACAAUAACCUUUUUUUGCAGGUAUCGCCCUUUUUUGGUUUUCAGGGUCGCAUUUAAAGCUAGUUUGAACAAUAAAUAAUCAAUUUCCUACGUACGUACCGUUAGCUGUAGAGGUCGGCGAUACCUCAGCAUCCCUCGAUGUGUCCUCAGCACGGCAACAUGUAUAAUUUAAGAUUCAAGAUGCCAGAAUUAUAAUUCCAGCCAGAAGGGAGCGACAAACCACUCAUCUCACAAUACAGAGACACACCUCUCAAUUGCAAGGCAUCGAGACGCUAUCAGUCUUGCUAGAAGUUUCAGUCUCCUCAAAGUUCUAAAAAUCUCAGAGUUUGCAAUAAUCAAGAGUUUGUGCAGUUUAAACAAUUAUUUAGAGAUCAAAUUUAGAAGUUAUUAAUAAUAAGUUUCAGUCUCUAACAAUCCCAUCAAAUACGUAUUCAUUAUUAUACACAGUUCUCAAUUAGUCAUUAUAAUUGCCAUAUCUUUGCUCAAAUUAAAGUUUAUUGCUAAUCAGAUUCUUUCUAUUGUUGUAUAGUAACACAGACCCUCCCUUAUACAACUCUCAUCACUAAUUUUAUCUCCUUAAAAUUCAGUUACUCUCAUGAAUUACAAAAUAUUUAAGGACUGCAUUCAUUAGAAAUCCGAAUUUAGAUUUAGUUAUUUGUGAUAAAUUCACCAUAUCGUUUGCUCAUUUACUCAAAUCAAUAUAUUACAUCAUAUCCUCCUCAUUGUCAUACAAACUCUCCUUUAUAAAAUCCUAUCAAUAGUUAAUUCUACCUCUUCAUAAUUCAGUUAAUGUCAGAGACUCCAAAGUAUUCUGAAAUCCAUACUACAUCAAUUAAAAUCAAAAUUCAAACUACCUAUAAUAGAUUUCAACUUCUGACGAUUCCAUGUACGAUUCUCAUUACUGGACAAUUUAAGUCUCCUCGUAAUUCUAAUAAUCUCAGAUUUAGAAUUUAUUUGUAGAUUCAAUCUCUAACAUUUCCUUCAAACACGUAUUCAUUACAUCACACAAUUCUCAAUUAGUCAUUAUGAUUACUUAUACUUAUUCCCGCUCGUAGAUACUGUCACCAUUAAUCGAGCGGAAAUCGAACAUUCGCAUUUUCCGCUCGUCAUCAUUCAAACAUUCAAAUCAUAUUAUCCUGUCAUCAUUGUUAACAUCGAUCACUCCAUAAUAAUACAGUACAAUGCAAUACAAUAAUUCAUUUACGACAACAAUCCAUGCGCUUCUAGCCAGAAUCAAAAUUUCCUUUUUUUCAUCCUUAAGCUGGGUUCAGAGCCCAAACCCAGCAUUCUGUCAACUACUUAAAAUAUUUACUUAUAUUGAAUUAAGUUAAAUCAAUUUAAUUAAUUUAAAUUAAAAUUAGAAUUCAAAAUCAUAAUUAUUAUGACGACUCCAACUCCCAAUAUCACCAAUACGCGUGCGCUCAUCUUUUUCAUCCUUAAGCUGGGUUCAGAGCCCGAACCCAGCAUUCUGUCAACUACUUAAAAUAUUUACUUAUAUUGAAUUAAGUUAAAUCAAUUUAAUUAAUUUAAAUUAAAAUUAGAAUUCAAAAUCAUAAUUAUUAUGACGACUCCAACUCCCAAUAUCACCAAUACGCGUGCGCUCAU